rnacentral:rRNA from 1 species
AGAGUUUGAUCCUGGCUCAGGAUGCACGCUAGCUACAGGCUUAACACAUGCAAGUCAAGGGGCAGCAUUUUAGUUUGCUUGCAGACUAAAGAUGGCGACCGGCGCACGGGUGAGUAACACGUAUCCAACCUGCCGAUAACUCGGGGAUAGCCUUUCUAAAGAAAGAUUAAUAUCCGAUAGUAUAUUAAAACCGCAUGGGUUUACUAUUAAAGAAUUUCGGUUAUCGAUGGGGAUGCGUUCCAUUACGUUUGUUGGCGGGGUAACGGCCCACCAAGACUACGAUGUAUAGGGGUUCUGAGAGGAAGGUCCCCCACAUUGGAAGUGAGACACGGUCCAAACUCAUACGGGAGGCAGCAGUGAGGAAUAUUGGUCAAUGGACGAGAGUCUGAACCAGCCAAGUAGCGUGAAGGAUGUCUGCCCUAUGGGUUGUAAACUUCUUUUAUAAAGGAAUAAAGUCGGGUAUGUAUACCCGUUUGCAUGUACUUUAUGAAUAAGGAUCGGCUAACUCCGUGCCAGCAGCCGCGGUAAUACGGAGGAUCCGAGCGUUAUCCGGAUUUAUUGGGUUUAAAGGGAGCGUAGAUGGAUGUUUAUAGUCAGUUGUGAUACAGUUUGGGGUUCAACCGUAAAAUUGCAGUUGAUACUGGAUAUUUUGAGUGCAGUUGAGGGCAGGGGGAAUUUCGUGGUGUAGCGGUGAAAAUGCUUAGAUAUCACGAAGAACUCCGAUUGCGAAGGCAGCUUGCUAAGCUGCAACUGACAUUGAGGCUCGAAAGUGUGGGUAUCAAACAGGAUUAGAUACCCUGGUAGUCCACGCAGUAAACGAUGAAUACUAACUGUUUGCGAUACAAUGUAAGCGGUACAGCGAAAGCGUUAAGUAUUCCACCUGGGGAGUACGCCGGCAACGGUGAAACUCAAAGGAAUUGACGGGGGCCCGCACAAGCGGAGGAACAUGUGGUUUAAUUCGAUGAUACGCGAGGAACCUUACCCGGGCUCAAACGCAGGGGGAAUAUAUAUGAAAGUAUAUAGCUAGCAAUAGUCACCUGCGAGGUGCUGCAUGGUUGUCGUCAGCUCGUGCCGUGAGGUGUCGGCUUAAGUGCCAUAACGAGCGCAACCCCUAUGGACAGUUACUAACGGGUGAAGCCGAGGACUCUGUCGAGACUGCCGGCGCAAGCCGCGAGGAAGGUGGGGAUGACGUCAAAUCAGCACGGCCCUUACGUCCGGGGCUACACACGUGUUACAAUGGGGGGUACAGAAGGCCGCUACCUGGUGACAGGAUGCCAAUCCCAAAAACCUCUCUCAGUUCGGAUAGAAGUCUGCAACCCGUCUUAGUGAAGCUGGAUUCGCUAGUAAUCGCGCAUCAGCCAUGGCGCGGUGAAUACGUUCCCGGCUCUUGCACUCAACACCCGUCA